rnacentral:rRNA from 1 species
AAAUUGAAGAGUUUGAUCAUGGCUCAGAUUGAACGCUGGCGGCAGGCCUAACACAUGCAAGUCGAGCGGUAGCACAGAGAGCUUGCUCUCGGGUGACGAGCGGCGGACGGGUGAGUAAUGUCUGGGAAACUGCCUGAUGGAGGGGGAUAACUACUGGAAACGGUAGCUAAUACCGCAUAACGUCGCAAGACCAAAGUGGGGGACCUUCGGGCCUCAUGCCAUCAGAUGUGCCCAGAUGGGAUUAGCUAGUAGGUGGGGUAAUGGCUCACCUAGGCGACGAUCCCUAGCUGGUCUGAGAGGAUGACCAGCCACACUGGAACUGAGACACGGUCCAGACUCCUACGGGGGCAGCAGUGGGGAAUAUUGCACAAUGGGCGCAAGCCUGAUGCAGCCAUGCCGCGUGUAUGAAGAAGGCCUUCGGGUUGUAAAGUACUUUCAGCGAGGAGGAAGGCGUUAAGGUUAAUAACCUUGGCGAUUGACGUUACUCGCAGAAGAAGCACCGGCUAACUCCGUGCCAGCAGCCGCGGUAAUACGGAGGGUGCAAGCGUUAAUCGGAAUUACUGGGCGUAAAGCGCACGCAGGCGGUCUGUCAAGUCGGAUGUGAAAUCCCCGGGCUCAACCUGGGAACUGCAUUCGAAACUGGCAGGCUAGAGUCUUGUAGAGGGGGGUAGAAUUCCAGGUGUAGCGGUGAAAUGCGUAGAGAUCUGGAGGAAUACCGGUGGCGAAGGCGGCCCCCUGGACAAAGACUGACGCUCAGGUGCGAAAGCGUGGGGAGCAAACAGGAUUAGAUACCCUGGUAGUCCACGCCGUAAACGAUGUCGACUUGGAGGUUGUGCCCUUGAGGCGUGGCUUCCGGAGCUAACGCGUUAAGUCGACCGCCUGGGGAGUACGGCCGCAAGGUUAAAACUCAAAUGAAUUGACGGGGGCCCGCACAAGCGGUGGAGCAUGUGGUUUAAUUCGAUGCAACGCGAAGAACCUUACCUACUCUUGACAUCCAGAGAACUUAGCAGAGAUGCUUUGGUGCCUUCGGGAACUCUGAGACAGGUGCUGCAUGGCUGUCGUCAGCUCGUGUUGUGAAAUGUUGGGUUAAGUCCCGCAACGAGCGCAACCCUUAUCCUUUGUUGCCAGCGGUUAGGCCGGGAACUCAAAGGAGACUGCCAGUGAUAAACUGGAGGAAGGUGGGGAUGACGUCAAGUCAUCAUGGCCCUUACGAGUAGGGCUACACACGUGCUACAAUGGCAUAUACAAAGAGAAGCGACCUCGCGAGAGCAAGCGGACCUCAUAAAGUAUGUCGUAGUCCGGAUUGGAGUCUGCAACUCGACUCCAUGAAGUCGGAAUCGCUAGUAAUCGUAGAUCAGAAUGCUACGGUGAAUACGUUCCCGGGCCUUGUACACACCGCCCGUCACACCAUGGGAGUGGGUUGCAAAAGAAGUAGGUAGCUUAACCUUCGGGGGGGCGCUUACCACUUUGUGAUUCAUGACUGGGGUGAAGUCGUAACAAGGUAACCGUAGGGGAACCUGCGGUUGGAUCACCUCCUUA